GGCACGGCUGGAGGUAGGUGCAGUGGUGGGUCUCUGUGAAGGUCUACAGAGGUCUGGUGAAUCCCACAGGGGAUGUAUACUGAAUGCUCCUUCAGAGGCCAGCUGCUGACUGCUCCUUCUCUCUUCAGAGGCUGGCUGCCUACUUAAGAUGCCAGCAUCCCCCAGCAGUCUGCAAAGAGGUCAGCGCCAGCUUCUGUGAGCGGUGACUCUUACACGAACUUCUGCUCGCCUCCUGGAAGUACUUCCGGCCCAUUACAUGCUGAUUCCAGCAAAAGUCCUUUGAAGCAAGACUGAUAAACCCCACUGAUGCUAGGAAAGGGACGUCCAGAGCGGUGGAUGAAGUGACUUUCCUCCCACCUCAUUGCUAACUAGUAUGAAGGCUGAGCCCCAGCUCACCCCCCUGCCCCUGCCUGUCUCCACUGGCCCUGGUGGACUGGGUGACUCCGGAGAUGCAGUCUCAGAGGAAGGAGCAAGAAGUGCAGCCUCAGCACGCUGCUGACCAAGUCAGCGGGUUCUCUGGCCCAGCCCGCAGCAGCAGCUCCGCGUGGCCAGCCAAUCAGCCCUCGGCAGGAAGCUCCUUCUGCACCUCUGCCGCCCUUAUCUCCUGCCGGGCUGCUCUGCAAGGUCAUGAUCACAGCCCUUUAUCAGAACAUCUUCACCUCCUGGGGACACAGCCCAGCUGGCUCAGAACGUUUCCUUUAGAUCUUCCCUCAGAAGCCCCCAUCACAGAUAUUACAAAUUAAAAUAAGAAACCCCAAACUGAAAUUUGAGGGGGGCCUCCCAUGUCAGGCACAGAGAUCACAGGGCAAUGCAUGUAGCAGAAACUUAGUCCUUCUCCCCUUAGGGAGCUCCUGACUACCCCCUGAGCCCCGACUCCAAUGCCCUAGUCCCUGCACGAUUCCCCUCACCUUCCCACCCCAGCUGUGAUGGCUCCCGCCCCACCCCUACCCAACCACCUGCCUCCUAGGAUCGCAACUAUUUGGUUUUGUGUGUUUCCCCCAUCAGACUAUAACCUGAAGGGUAUAAACUUCCUCCUGUGCAAAUUUAGGUUAACCACUUAGAAUAAAUGUAAAACUUAAUCACAGUUGAUGGAGUUGCCAGCUCUCUGACCUUGGGCAAGACUGCCUUUCUAAGCCAAUUUACU